UACAGUUUAUGAAAGAUUUCAUAACCAGAUAGUAACAUAAUACGUAUCUAUAUCAAAGGGCUGCCCGUCCUUUACGGUCGGGUAUAAUCUGUCAAAUUCGGGGAAGCCUAAAGUUACAAUGAGUAACUAUGGUAAUCCCGAGCCAAAUCUUCGGUUGAAACCGAGGGGAGGUGUAGAGACUAGACGGCAGAGUUUUAAAAAAGUUUGCCAGGGCAGACUUUAGAACAAGGGAUAGUCCAGCUUACAAACUCGAAAGGGUCUAU
rnacentral:ncRNA from 1 species